rnacentral:tRNA from 1 species
GAAAUAUAUUAUUUAAGCUUCUAACUUAAAACUUAGAAAAUAUUGUUAAUAUUUCU